rnacentral:rRNA from 1 species
AGCAUAUCAAUAAGCGGAGGAAAAGAAACCAACAGGGAUUGCCUCAGUAACGGCGAGUGAAGCGGCAACAGCUCAAAUUUGAAAUCUGGCCCUUUCAGGGUCCGAGUUGUAAUUUGCAGAGGGUGCUUUGGCGUUGGCGGCGGUCUAAGUUCCUUGGAACAGGACAUCGCAGAGGGUGAGAAUCCCGUAUGUGGUCGCCUGCCUUCGCCGUGUAAAGCCCCUUCGACGAGUCGAGUUGUUUGGGAAUGCAGCUCUAAAUGGGAGGUAAAUUUCUUCUAAAGCUAAAUACCGGCCAGAGACCGAUAGCGCACAAGUAGAGUGAUCGAAAGAUGAAAAGCACUUUGGAAAGAGAGUCAAACAGCACGUGAAAUUGUUGAAAGGGAAGCGCUUGCAGCCAGACGUGCCCGCAGUUGCUCACCCGGGCGUUCGCCCGGGGCAUUCUUCUGCGGGCAGGCCAGCAUCAGUUUGGGCGGUCGGAUAAAGGGCUCUGACACGUACUUCCCUUCGGGGUUGACAUACAGGGGAGCCGUCAUGCGACCAGCCCGGACUGAGGUCCGCGCAUCUGCUAGGAUGCUGGCGUAAUGGCUGUAAGCGGCCCG